GCUCCCCACAGGCUGAGAUCGACAACUGAGGCAGUUUAAGGUUCCCAGCAUGACACUCGGGCAGAGGAUCGCUCCAGCCCGAUCAUAGAGGCGUGGGUACAAGCAACAAUUCAGAAUAAAAUGGAAUAAAACCAGGCGAACCAGAAAAAGCAUCACCGGCACGACCUAAGGAGCACAGACACAUCGCCCUAAGGAUCCCCGACGCAUCGACGUAAGGAACUCAGGAUGACAUCGGCAUCAACCAUGACACACAGCCAGGACAUCGCCCAUGCCACAGCCGCUCUAGAGCAUGACAUGCAGUCGUGGGACUUGUCAGAGUCACCAUCAACAGCGCUGCUAAUCCAGACCCCCCAGACUCCACCACCCUCACCACAAUGCUCGCAGGACCCCCUCAUAUCAGACCUGUGUGAGGAAACUGUAAUCGACAUCAAACUUGCAACUCUCCACCUGUUUGUACGCUCAUACACCGUAGAUGGGACUGGAACACAAAUCCACAGGGUUGCAGAACACAUCAUGUAUGAACUGAGAUUAGAGCGACAUAUAGUAUGCGCCAUUAAUGACAACAUUGCGCACCUGCUAGAAGCAAGUCGUUGUGCCCACCGUGUUAAACCAGCCAUGCUCCGCAUGAUUGGAAAAACUGGGCUGGUAGACACCUGGUUUAAUGUGUGCUGUUCAAGUAUCCAUUGUCUGUGUUUGUGUCUGUGUGAAAAUUAAAUAAAAGGACAUGUUAACAUCAACAUCUUUGUCAUUUGUGGUUUGUAAAUCAUGGAAAACACAU